UUGUUCAAACGGGAAGAGAUUCACGAAUAAUCUUCAGAUUAAGGCCAUGGGGCAUUUGAUGUUGGAUUUAUGCAGAUUUAACAAAGAUGCCAGAGAAAAACAACGAAUUAUAAUUUUAUCAUGUAGUGAGCGUACUUGCUCCUUGGUGUUAGUGAGAUACGAUUUCCGUCC